rnacentral:tRNA from 2 species
GCUCGGUUAGUUUAAUGGUAGAACUCCAUCUUUACACGGUGGUUGCAGUGGUUCGAUUCCACUACUGAGUA